UACGUAGGAGGCGAGCAUUGUCCGGAAUUACUGGGCGUAAAGCGAGUGUAGGCGGUGUGGUAAGUCGGAUGUGAAAGCCCCGGGCUCAACCCGGGAAGUGCACUCGAUACUGCCACGCUAGAGUAUCGGAGAGGUUGGUGGAAUUCUCGGUGUAGAGGUGAAAUUCGUAGAUAUCGAGAGGAGCACCGGUGGCGAAGGCGGCCAACUGGACGAAUACUGACGCUGAGACUCGAAAGCGUGGGAGCAAACAGG
rnacentral:rRNA from 1 species